rnacentral:lncRNA from 1 species
GAGGAUGAGAGAGUGAUGAGAGUGAUUUUCUGGGGAAUCUUUGAGAAUGAUUGAGUGAACCUUGAAAUGAUGAUUGAUGAGCAAAUUCAGUUUAGUGUGAUUUAACUCUAUUAGCUUGGAAAUCAUGCAAAGUUAGUUAAGAUCAAAAUCCGGUAGAGUCAGUUAGUUAGGGUUUCUGUUAUUAAUUCUGUGAGUGGUUAUUGUUAAAUGAUGAGUUAUUGAAGCUCUGUUAAAAGUUAGUUACAUUCUGUUAUGAAAUGUUAAAAGGUUAGUUAGUUAGGAUGGUUAAGAUGAACUCUGUUAGUUGUUGAUUGUCAUGAAAUCGGUUUGAAUUAAUUGAUGGACUCAAAACAUGCUUGAUACUUCCAGUUAGUGUAAAUAAAGUUAGGUUUGGAAUGUAGAGUCAUUUAGAGUUGCAUUAAUUAGAGUUAAUUGAGUUGGGAUAAACACUAAGUGCCAAACUUCAAACUGAUUUGAAUUGGUUGAGAAUAAUUUGUUGUGUGGAGUAGUUCUUAAGAUGGUGGCCCUCUUUAUACACAUGAAAAACAAUGGAUUAUUCAUUGCUAUAGUAGCCAAUCUUGAAUGAAAUUGGUGAUCAUGGCCUUGUUGUUGAUUCUGUUAGAAGAUUGACAUUAGGAUAAAUAUGAAGUGUUCAUUUUUAGUGAUGAAUGCUAGUGAACCAAAUUAUUUUAGUUGUUGCAGAAUGUUUGUUGGAUUUUUAUUGUUAGAUAAAUUGUAUUAGUCUUAUAAAGUUAUUUUUUUUUAGGAUUUUGAAAUUGGAAUUGUGGGUUGUUGGUUGUAAUGUGAUAACUAUGCUUGAAUGUUAAUAUUAGCUUCAUGAACUUGAACUGAGGAUUUGUGAUUGGUUUGUUUGAUGGAGGGCUGGUAUGGGCUUGAGAUGAGGAUAUGCUCAUGAAGGUUUUGGUCAAUGUAUGGUACAAAGUUGGCAUGGAAUCACAUGGAUCAUGAAGAAACCUUUGGCAAGUCAAGGCAUGUGAAGUUUGGAGUGAUCAAAGACUAUGAAUUGGGAAAUGAUUUAGGAUAACAUAGUUAACUUUGGUCAACCGUUUGACCAAAAAGUAAAUAGUUGACCAAAACUUAACUGUAGGUGAAAAUGUAAUUUGUAUGAAAUUGUGAUAUUGUAUUUGGUGUAUUGAAAGUGUAAUCUUUUGGAAAUGAAAAGUCUUUUAUAUUAACUUGUGCAUUAAGAAACAUAUUUUCCCUCCAAAAAAGAAAUGAAUUUGAAUUUGAACGCUUGACCUUUGAAAUAAC